CAACUUUUUUUUAUUUUUUUUUUAAAUCAGCAAAGAGAAAUAUUAUUAUUUGCAGGAUAAAGACAUCAAGGGGAUGUCACUCAAUUACUAUGGAAACAAAAAACAUCACAAACCUUAUUGUAAGGUGUCAAGGAAAUCAAGGAUUACAAAAGUGUCCCUCCCAACCAGCGCACUGCCAAUUAGAAAUCAUGGUUAUCCAACAGUCCUUGACAACCUGAAGGGGUGAAACUGUUCCCUCAAAAGCUCUCUUGUUCCUUUCCCUCCCACACCAAAAAUAGCAAGGGUGGGGGGGGGGGAGAGAUGAGGGAAAGAGACUUUCUUUCAUCCUUGUUAGAGCAGAUUCCUUUCCAAGCCAAUAACUCGCCCUCCACUGUAGCAGCAGUGAUCCACUUCUGCUUGACCAUGGAGAUUGCCAAGUUCCAGAGGUUUGUGGUCCAGAAACAGUGUAGAAGGAUGUGCUCUACCAUUUCUGCCUGCACCAGGCAUAAAAAGCACCCAUCAACGAGAGGUAAGUCAUCGUUCUGGAGUUUGACAAUGGUAAGUAUCCUCCCAAGAGUUGUUUCCCCCGUGAAAAAAGCGACCUUUGGUGGGGGCUGCAGUUUUCUGAAUGAGUUUCCAAGGGAAAUUGCUGCUGCACUCCACCAAGGAGAUAAUAUGUUCAUAGUAUGAUCUGAACAUGAAUCUAUCUUUGUUCAAAUUCCAUUGGGUGGCCUGGCACUGGAGUUUGUAAAGACUGCUGUAGAAAUCGUUCAUACUAUCAAUUUCCCAAUCAAAAGCAUUCCUAAUCAAGGGAAUAUUCCAGAGCAUCCCCUGAUUAGUGAACUCCAGGUGCUGGCAAAGGAGGGCCUCUUUGUCACAAGCUAGCCUGAAGAUAAAAGGGUAAAAGGGUAUCUUGUAGUAACCCGACAAAAAAAAAAAAAAAAAAAGAUAUUUUGGAGAAGAUAUUUUGAGAUAUUUAUAUAUAAAUAUCUUGGAGGAGAUAUUUAUUUAGAUUACUUAAGGGCUAAGUAAAGAUUUAUUCUAUAAAUUCUCUUAUCCUCUCUCAUUCUCUCUCUCUCUCUCUCUCUCUCCCUCUCUCAAGGAUUUAUUCUAUAAAUUCUCUUAUUCUCUUUCAUUCUCUCUCUCUCUCUCUCUCUCUCUCUCUCAUUUUUUCUCUCUCUCUCUCUAAGAUCCUUCGCCGUUCAUCAUCCGUUUCCAAAAACGGAGGGUACUGCGUGGAUCAGAAGAGGAAACUCUACACUUUUAGUGGAUCGGAUCGUCGUUUCGGAGAGUUUCGGGUUUUCCCAAGAAUCGAGGUCCAUCCGUGCGUCGGUCCUAGUAGAUAAAAGGACUAGGGAGGUUAUUUUGGUUAGCUUACGUAAGCAUCUAAAUUUUUGUACUAAACUUGAUGAAAGUCCUUUUUGGAGGGUUGUAAUAUGACGAUUACUCUAAGUCCGAAUGUAUGUAAAUUAUGGAUGUAUUAGUGAACUCUGGUAUAAGGCUAGUAGUAAUCCCAAUGGAUGUUUAUGUUUUUCCAA